rnacentral:misc_RNA from 1 species
CAAAUAUCUUAAUAGGAGCCCUUAGCUGUAAAACAGUAGGUUCACUAGCAAAUAUUCUUUCGGCACUAUCACAAAGAUCGGCGAUCUCAUUGCAGUCCAAAAAAAACUCUCGUCGCGCAGGUGGCUUCCAACCCCGAGGCUUCAAAAGAUGAGUGAUCAACUUUUUCGGAACACUGUUGAUGGACAUUUGUCGAUCCAAAAGUUUUCGUGCUGCCGUGACAUUUUCUGGGGUUCCAUAACUGACUCGCCGGCCUUCAUUUUCAAAUUGAUCGAUAGAAAGCUGUCGUACCAUACCACCAAGAGCACCACCAGUCUCUGCAGCUACAACUAUAGCACGAUGAUGAAGACGGACUCCAGUUGGUGCAGAAUUAUUCGAUCCGGAAGAAUCUAAAUUGAUCGAAGAAGAUGCUGCUUUUCCACUUGGUGUAGCCUCUGCUCCACCAUCCCUAUCAGGAAGUUCGACUUCUCCAUUACCUUGCUGUCGAGCUUUGGCAGCUGCUAGUGCAGCAGUAAUAGCCUCAGCUUCUGCUGCAGAGGCCUCCACUAAAUAUUCGACACCUUUGCUGAGUCUCCGAGAUCCUUGAAGCAUGACAUUCUCAGUACUUAUAUCAGUAUACAUAUCGCCAUUUACAGGGGGAGCAACAGCAUUUCCCAGUACAACAGAACCAUCAUUAACUGCCUCAGAAACUGUUUGCUUCGUUCUUUCAUCACCAAAACCAUACCUUCCUGUUAAUCUACCCGCUUGUAUAUUAACUGCUGCUGCAGCUGCUGCAUGUGAAGCUGCACUAGUUGUUUCAGCAGCAGCCAAGUCUUCCGCGACAAGCAAGUCAUCUAGCAGUACCCCUCCACGUAAACCACCAUACAUAUAUACCAAGUCACCAACAGCAGCAGCCGCAUGCCGACAACGCCUGGUCAAUUCAACUGCGGCAUCUCCCCCAGCCGCAUCUGCACUGUAUCUACCUGUCCUAGGACUGGUGACAACAGAUUUUAUGUCACACCACACUCCUGCAGCAGUAUCAAGAACGGCUAUACUGGAAGAGUCUUCUACCAUGCGUCCACCACCAAGAGCCCCUCCAGAAACAUGGAGCCGAGCAUUUACAAAUACUGCGGCAUGCUGAUAUCUAGGAGAUGGUGACACACCAGGAGCAAUGGCCCAUUCCCACCGCCCAUCUCUAUGUUUGGCCAGUCCAUAUGCACUUGCAAGUGGCACACUAUUGGCAUCCCGCCCUCCACAAAGCAGAAGAAGACCAUCAGAGCGUGCACUUGCAGUUGCGUACAUGCAAGGAGGAGGGCCUUCACCCUCUGGUUCCAAUUUUCGCCAUUCAUAUGGUUUUGCAGCAGUGUCCAAAGCCCAAACAUCUGCUAGAGGUCGUUUUCCAUCAUUUCCACCAAUUGCCAUAAGAUAUCUUUGCCCUACCAAAGCC